UUGCAACUCUUAUUCUCAGUUUUGUACAUUGUAGCUUAUCAUCAUUAAAAAUCCUCCUGCUCAAGACAUCAAGUUCCCAAAAAUGAAAACACUCGAUGUUACCACAGUCGAGAGCAUGGUUUGCAAGGUGGUCUUCUAGAUUGUUUCCCUCUCUGAAAAUGUGAGAUACCUUGAAGUUACACCCCGUUUUGAGUAUGUUGAUUUUCUCCACCGCAUCCACAAUAUUCCAGGGUGGCUUCCAUUGUCCAUCUAUGAUCUUUUGAAGCAUCAGUG
rnacentral:lncRNA from 1 species